GGCGGACGUAGCCAAGUGGAUUAAGGC
rnacentral:tRNA from 2 species